rnacentral:rRNA from 1 species
UAGGGAAUAUUGGGCAAUGGAGGGAACUCUGACCCAGCCAUGCCGCGUGCAGGAUGAAGGCGUUAUGCGUUGUAAACUGCUUUUAUAUAGGAAGAAAUAGUCCUUGCGAGGAAAGUUGACGGUACUAUAUGAAUAAGCACCGGCUAACUCCGUGCCAGCAGCCGCGGUAAUACGGAGGGUGCAAGCGUUGUCCGGAUUUAUUGGGUUUAAAGGGAGCGUAGGUGGCCUUAUAAGUCAGUGGUGAAAUCUUCGAGCUUAACUCGGAAAUUGCCAUUGAUACUGUAGGGCUUGAGUAUAGUUGCCGUUGGCGGAAUAUGACAUGUAGUGGUGAAAUACAUAGAGAUGUCAUAGAACACCGAUUGCGAAGGCAGCUGACGAAACUAUAACUGACACUGAGGCUCGAAAGUGUGGGGAUCAAACAGGAUUAGAUACCCCAGUAGUCCCUGAGCGGGCUGGCAAGGCGCAU